ACGGAGGAUUAUAUGAUCACUUAUCUUAAAUGGCGUACCAUCAUCUUCUCAGUUCCGAGAGACCUUGAAAGAGCUACGAUUGCCGGUCGGUUCCUGAAGUACUAGAGAUAUAGUUAUUAGACUUAUCCAAGUGGGAGACUGUUGGAUAAGGUGUCUAAGUCCAUAACUAUUUCGGGCUUGUACUUGACCCGACCCGGCAUGGUCCAUUUGGGUUGCAUGGCACCAUGCAAUUGGAUAGACUAAAUGAGAGAAAUAACACUUGGAGAUUAUUAAUAUAUUAUAAGUUCUAAUAUAUUAAUAAUAUUAUUUGAUUAGUUGAUCAAAGAAUUAAUUUGGAAUUAAUUAAGUGAUCAAAGGAUAACUAAUUAAAUAUAUGGGUUGAUUAUGUAAAUCAUCCAUAUCUUGUAUAGUGGGCUAAGAGGCUCCAUGGAUUAUCAAGUUGGGUUCUACCCAUAGGAUGCUCCAUGGAUGCUCCAUGGGAGUUACAAACCCAUGGGUCAUGGAAAUGAAGAGUCAUGACACAUUAGGGUUUACAUGGUGUAACCCUAGAUGUGUCAACACUAUAUAAGAAUCAUAUUCUCCACCAAAAUCGGCUACACUAAGAAACUAGAGGGCUUGGCCGAUUUUGAGAAGUGUGUGUUAUCUCAAGAGUCUUUCCAAGAGCAUUUGGUGUUGUGUGAAGCAUUUGAGGCAUCACACUUGGGGUGCUAGGCUCACAAGGUUUCAAGGAACACAAGCAACAACAAGGUAAGUUAUUCUAUCUAUGAUUCAAGUUAAAAUUGUUCCCCAUGUAUGCUAGAUAGGAAUAUAACCUUGGAAUUCAACUUUGCAUGAUAAUUAGACAAACAUAGAUCCAAGGUUAUUAGGGUUGCAUGUACACUUAGGAAGUGUUAGAAUGCUCAAAACCCAUCAGUGGUAUCAGAGCCUAGGCUUGUUUGUUUGUUAUUUGUGCUUAAAAGUUGAAGAAAGUCGAAAAUCUUGCUGUCUGACUGAUGGACUCGGCGAGUCCAUGGGGAGGACUCGUCGAGUUCAUGUGUAUCUUCAACCUACUCGGCGAGUAGGUUUAUGCACUCGGCGAGUAGGGUCGACAGAGUGCAGAAUUUCGACUUGAGUUGCUGGAAAUGGAUUAGAAUCAUUACCCUAAAAUGUUUUGGUACUUGAAAACUUAUUUUAGAAGGUGUAAUGUCUUUUCUAACUCAUUUACAACAACUAGUUAUCAAAAUUACAAAGAUUAAAUGUGAUUUUGAUUCUUGAAAGUGUUCAUAUUCAUAUUCUUGUUCUUAUGAUGUUUAGAUGAUCAUAGGAAUUAUUUGUAACCUAUGUGGUAGAUUAAUUCAUGAUCAUAAUGUGUUUUAAUGGAGUCCAUAACUUGUCCUCAAGUUAUGGAAAACCAAAAGUCUCUUGGAUUAAAAACCAUUAAAAGAACACAAGAGUUAGGAAAAAUGAAAAGUCCUCAUUUUAUUACUCUAUUAAACUCAUAAGUUACAAGAAAUGAAAAGUUUUGAAAGUUUACAAAACUUGCCCUCAAGUUUUGGAACAAGUAAAGUUAAGUUAAAACUUUAGUUCCAACCCCUAGAAUUUUAAAAGUUAAAAUUCAACCCUUAUACUUAUAUUAUUAUGAUUUAAUAAUUAUAUAUAUAUGUAUAAGAACAAAGUCGUCUUACCGCUAGUACGCCUCAUUCACGAAGCCGGUCUAUAAGGUGGGUAUAAGGUUGUUGCCUAUAAAAUGGUGACUUAAUGGGUGUCCACUCUCACCCACCGCUUGCUUGAUCGGUGGAGGGUCGUUAGCCGAACGGGUAAGACAAGGACUUAUUAAUUCUCAUUCAAAGUAUGAUGAAUAUUAUAAAGUAACUAAAUGUUUUAUUAAAUUCCCAAUCUUAGUUACUUUAGGAAAAAUGUGAAUAAGGUGCUAUUCCAUGAAAUUACACUUUACACUUUGAUUAAGUCGUUGGUGGAGCGUGUGUGGUUAACCGGCACACUAACUUGGACUUAACAAGGUAGGUAAAGGGUGACUUAGGGUUUAUUAUAGUAUCGAUGGAGCGUGUGUGGUUAACCGGCACAUCGAUUGAGUGAUAAACUUUAAGGGUACCAAGUGAUUUGCAUGGUUACUUCACACCUCGUUUUGUGAUCCUCGGUAUCCCAGUCACAAAACUUGGAGGGCACACUCGAGAUUGAAACAUGCCUUUGAAAAGUUCAUUGAAUCUCAAAGAAUCUAGGAAUUUCUAAGAACCAUUCAAAAACCUAAUACUAAAAUAUUGCGGUUUUCGUGGUGGAAAUUGGUGAAUCGUCAUUCACCUACCUUUCAAAUAUGAUAUAGCUUAGAUUACGGCAUACCUCUUCUAAGUUAUAUUAUAUUGUGAUUGGAUCCUAGCCUUAAUAUUACAUUUGGGUGUUUUAUUAAGGACUCUCUUAUAUCUAAACUAAUCUUGUCCUCUUUCCUUCAGAUGUCUUUCAACAAUGCUUCUGGCUCUAAUCCUAAUGGCUCCUUUACCCUUAUGAACUUGUGUGGGAAAGUCACCUUUGAUGGAUCCAACUUCAAUGAGUGGAUCAGAAACAUCAGGAUGAUUACCCGCUACGAGGACAAAGAAUAUGUCCUUGACAAGGAGCUUAAGGAGAUUGAUGAGUCCACUGCAACUCCUCAGGAGAUCGCUGAAUUUCGGGCACAUGAAAGGGAUGCUACGAAAGUGGCUUGCAUCAUGAUGGCCACGAUGACAGCGGAACUCCAAAAGUCUUAUGAGGAUUUCUACCCUUAUGAAAUGCACCAAGAUUUGAUGGAAAGAUACCAUCAAAGUGCAAGACAAGAGAGGUAUGAAAUCAUCUGCUCCAUGAUAACAACCAUGAUGAAGGACGGGGAAUCCGUCACGAGCCACAUGCAGAAAAUGCAAAGGUAUGUGGAUCGUUUGCUGAAGCUUAAUGUGAACUUCCCGGAGGAUCUUGCAAUAGAUAUUAUUUUGCAUUCCUUACCAUCGUGCUAUGAUCAAUUCCGCAUGACAUAUCACAUGAACAAGGAAGAAGUCACCCUCAGCAAACUUCAGGGACUUCUCAAGACCGCAGAAUCAGGUCUUAAGGGGAAGUCGGUUGCUAUCACUCCUACUCAAAACUCUACUCCGGUUUUGGCAAUCGGGAAAAGUCGAGGGAGGAAGAGAAAGAGCUCUUCUAAGGGUACCAAGGUUCGGACCCUUGAUGGCUCUUCUUCAAGUGGAACCAAGAAAGGUUUCAUUACUCCUUCUUCUGACCCAAAAGAGGCUGAAUGCUUCUAUUGCCAUGAAAAAGCUCAUUGGAAGCGGAACUGCCCAAAAUACCAGCAAGAUGUGAAGGAUGGGAAAGUUAAACCCAACCAUGCAGGUAUUUACACUAUCAUUUCUAAUAACUCACCCCAUUCUAAUUCUUGGGUCCUUGAUACCGGGUGUGGUAUUCACAUUUGUUGUGACUUGCAGGGACUAAGAAGAAGUGAGGAUGUGGAGCAAGGAAGGAUAAACUUGAUCAUGGGGAAUAGGAAAGCUAUACCUGUUACCAAGAUUGGAGUUUAUACUUUAUCGCUAAGUAGUGGGUUUAGUUUAGAUUUGAAUAAGUGUUGUUAUUCGCCAGGAAUGGCAAGAAAUAUUAUUUCCUUUCAUGCUUUGUACAAACAAGGGUUUACCUUUUCAUUUAAUAAUGAAGUUGGUUCUAUAGAUGUUUUCUAUAAUAAUGUCUUUUAUUUUAAAGCAUUACCUUGUGAUGGUGUGUAUGAAGCUGUAUCUGUUGUAGAUAACUUGGGAAAUAAUGUUUUGUGUAUUGAUUCUACUAAUAAUAACUUGGAUAAAGCAUCUUUAUGGCAUUGUCGUCUUGGACAUAUAAGCAAGAAACGCAUAGGCCAACUCCAAAAGGAUGGAGUCUUGGAGUCGUUUGACCUAAAGUCAGAUGAUAGUUGCGAAUCAUGCUUACUUGGAAAAAUGACAAAGUCACCCUUCACAGGUUCGUGUGAGAGGGGUGAAGGUUUGUUGGACCUUAUACACACGGAUGUGUGUGGACCAUUCAAACAUGCCACAAGGGAUGCUAAUCGUUAUUAUUUGACUUUUACUGAUGAUUAUAGUAGAUAUGGAUAUGUCUACUUGAUCAAGCAUAAGUCAGAGACUUUCGAGAGGUUUAAGGAAUUUAAACAGGAAGUCGAGAAUCAAUUGGGCAGGAACAUUAAGAUGCUUCGAUCCGAUCGUGGUGGUGAGUAUCUUAGUUCAGAGUUCCUCGACUAUCUAAGGGAAUGUGGGAUAGUCUCACAAUUGACACCUCCCAGGACACCACAGUUGAAUGGUGUGGCUGAGAGGCGUAAUCGAACCUUGUUAGAUAUGGUUCGUUCCAUGAUGAGUCGAGCUACGCUACCAAUCUCAUUCUGGGGGUAUGCCUUAGAGACUGCCGCCCAUAUUCUUAAUCUAGUCCCUACAAAGAAAGUUGCCAAAACUCCUCACGAGAUGUGGACUGGUAAAGUACCUAAACUAGACCACAUCAAGAUUUGGGGUUGCGAGGCUUUCGUGAGACGCGAGACUCAUGAUAAGCUCGAACCUCGAAGCGAGAGGUGUAUUUUCAUCGGUUACCCACAGCGAUCCUUUGGUUACCUCUUCUACAGACCUAGUGACAAUGUGGUCUUUGUAGCAAGAAGAGGAGUCUUUCGAGAAAGAGAGUUUAUAAGCCAAGGAGACAGUGGGAGGCAAAUUGAUCUUGAAGAAAUUCAAGAAUCAAGCGGUGAAGGAACUUCAAACUCUAGCCCUCAACUUGAGGAGGAAACUCCUGUUGAGCCAAUUGACAAAUCUGUACCUCUGAGACGUUCCACGAGAGUUAGGAGUGCACCUGAGCAUUACUAUGGAUUCCAUAUUACUGCAGAAGGUGAGACACUUAUUAGUGAUGAGACACUAGUAAGUCAAGAUGACCCUAACAGCUACGAGGAAGCCAUGGCAGGCCCCGAGUCUGCUAAAUGGAAAGAGGCUAUGGAUAGCGAGAUACAAUCCAUGUAUGACAAUCAAGUUUGGAACUUGGUUGAAAAUGUACCAGGUCGUAAGACAGUAGGGUGCAAAUGGGUCUUCAAGAAGAAGACCGACAUGGAUGGUAAAGUACACACUUAUAAGGCUAGACUGGUUGCAAAGGGCUUCUCUCAAAUUCCUGGAGUGGAUUAUGAUGAGACCUUUUCUCCGGUAGCCAAGAUUAAGUCUAUUCGGGUUCUGUUAGCCAUAGCUGCAUUUCAUGACUAUGAAAUAUGGCAGAUGGAUGUCAAAACCGCUUUCCUUAAUGGAAAGUUGGCUGAAGAUGUUUACAUGAGUCAGCCAGAGGGUUUUGUCAGCAACGAGUACCCUAAUAGAGUGUGUAAGCUUGAGAAAUCCAUUUAUGGAUUGAAGCAAGCACCUCGCAGAUGGAAUCUUUGCUUUGAUGAAAAGGUCAAGGAAUUUGGCUUUUCUAGGAGUGAAGAUGAAUCUUGUGUGUAUGUCAAGGCUAGUGGGAGUAUAGUUAGCUUUUUGGUAUUGUAUGUGGAUGACAUACUACUCAUAGGAAACGACAUUCCAACCCUGCAGGAAGUAAAGUCCUGGCUUGGGAAGUGUUUCGCUAUGAAGGACCUUGGUGAAGCUGCCUAUAUUCUAGGGAUAAGAAUCUUGAGAGAUCGGAGUAAAAGACUAAUUGGACUUAGUCAGAGUACCUACUUGGAUAAGGUGCUGAAGAGAUUCAGCAUGCAGGAUUCCAAGAAAGGAGAGUUACCCAUCCAGAGUAACACCAGAUUGAGUAAGACACAAAGCCCUAGCACUGAGGCUGAGAUAGCAGAAAUGAGUCGAACACCUUACGCUUCGGCUGUAGGAUCGAUCAUGUAUGCUAUGACGUGUACUCGACCCGAUGUAGCUUUUGCCUUGAGCAUGGUUAGCAGGUAUCAGGCGAACCCUGGCAAGGCACACUGGACUGCGGUAAAGAAUAUCCUCAAGUACCUACGGAGGACUAAGGACUGGGUCCUUACCCUCGGUGGGAGUGAUGACUUGAGAGUUGUAGGGUAUAGUGAUGCUAGCUUCCAGACUGAUAGGGAUAAUUUCCGCUCUCAGUCGGGCUGGGUCUUUACCCUAAACGGAGGAGCAAUUUCUUGGAAGAGUUCCAAGCAAGAGACAGUGGCAGAUUCUACUUGUGAAUCAGAGUAUAUUGCAGCUAGCGAAGCAGCAAAGGAGGCGAUAUGGCUGAAGAACUUCAUUGGAGACCUUGGAGUUGUACCAGCUAUUAAAGAGCCAAUGGAAAUUUUCUGUGAUAGUGAAAGUGCUGUUGCCUUAGCCAAGGAACCAAGGGAUCAUGGGAGAUCCAGACACAUCGACAGAAAAUACCAUUUCAUUAGACAUCGGAUCGAAGAAGGACUCCUCGUGGCAAAGAGGGUAUCAUCGGAUGAGAACCCAGCAGAUCCCCUCACGAAGGGACUGAGUAGGGUUAAGCAUCUCCAGCAUGCUCGGAGCAUAGGGCUGAAGGAUGAUAUAAGUUUUAGUAGUUAGAUAACCCAGAAAUUUGUAAAGUGUAAUUGACAUUUGAUGAUGAAUAAAAGGUGUUUUAUUUAUGAGUAAAGUGUUGCUAUCUCUUGUCAAUCGUUUACUAUAUUUCUUUUGCAUGUUUUGACUUCCAGAAUAAUUUUGUUUGGUGUAACAUAUUAUUCAAACCUCCACAGUCGGUCAUAUGUCGGAAGUAGGUAUGAAUCAAGACUGUCAUGAUGGGUUGUAGAGGUCUAAGGUGUUGGACAAGGCUACAACAAUCAUGAGUGCUCAUAAGUUCUGAGCAUUGGACUCAACCCACGCUCACUGGAAUCACUUCAUGGAAUUCUAUCUCGAGUGAUCGUGAGACGGUAAUAUCAUAUAAGUCUUCAAACCUAGAGAUAUGAUUUGUUACUUACAAGUUGGUUAUGCAUUGACUGUACGAAACCGCAUUGGUAACUCGAUGUUAUAAAACGUACUUUUGUGUGUAAUUCAAUGAGUGGUAGAACAAACAUAUGAGUCGAAGUUUAUCUGUUCCUUCUUGGAUUAGAAGCUGAUAUCUGGGCCCCUCGAUGAUUUUGUUUUGACCCAUGUACCGGGCCCGGUCAGAACUAAGUUGAUGUGUUCAAUUAAGUUCUAUGUCAAACAAAUCGGAAAUCGGGAAACAAAUGCUGGACAAUAAGCAAGACAAUGUUCCAUGUAUUUGUCCGGCUGAUAUCUAGAACGGAGGAUUAUAUGAUCACUUAUCUUAAAUGGCGUACCAUCAUCUUCUCAGUUCCGAGAGACCUUGAAAGAGCUACGAUUGUCGGUUGGUUCCUGAAGUACUGGAGUUAUAGUUAUUAGACUUAUCCAAGUGGGAGACUGUUGGAUAAGGUGUCUAAGUCCAUAACUAUUUCUGGUCAGUACUUGACCCGACCCGGCAUGGUCCAUUUGGGUUGCAUGGCACCAUGCAAUUGGAUAGACUAAAGGAG
rnacentral:lncRNA from 1 species